UUGUUUUGAGGGUAAGCAGUGCCUUAUGAGCUUUAUAAGGGUUUGACAUUUACCACAAGCCGGAUAGGCGUUUUGCCGAAAGAAAAUGUCCA
rnacentral:sRNA from 1 species